ensembl:lncRNA
CUGGUCGUCACUAAGCAACGAUCUGAGAGUUUUACUAACUACUGUACACAACAGGAAUAGUGACUUGUUCUUAAUCCCACUUAUGUAAUGGCUCCAUUAUGGGAUGGCAGGUAGCCUGGUGGUUAGAGGAGGCAGGUAGCCUAGUGGUUAGAGGAGGCAGGUAGCCUAGUGGUUAGAGGAGGCAGGUAGCCUAGUGGUUAGAGGAGGCAGGUAGCCUAGUGGUUAGAGGAGGCAGGUAGCCUAGUGGUUAGAGGAGGCAGGUAGUCUAGUGGUUAGAGGAGGCAGGUAGCCUAGUGGUUAGAGGAGGCAGGUAGCCUGGUGGUUAGAGGAGGCAGGUAGCCUGGUGGUUAGAGGAGGCAGGUAGCCUAGUGGUUAGAGGAGGCAGGUAGCCUAGUGGUUAGAGGAGGCAGGUAGCCUGGUGGUUAGAGGAGGCAGGUAGCCUGGUGGUUAGAGGAGGCAGGUAGCCUGGUGGUUAGAGGAGGCAGGUAGCCUAG